GUUGGGCUUGGUAGCGCAAGCUUGUAACCCGAGUGGGAGCAUUAAGAUGGUGGGACGGUUGGCCAUUCCUUGAAGGCUGGGCCUUGGUUGUUAUCUACUGGCUUGCCCGUUCCAAGUGGUGAGUUGUGCUGUGGAUUCUCUGCGAAGGCAGAGGCUACUCGGUCCUUAGAUUGGAGGGCACUGCGUGAGGCUGGUUUCACAGAGCAGCGAAAACCUCUUCCUCUUUGCAGUGGAAGGAUAACGGGCCGGUGCAUCCUCUACCCACUUGCGCCUGAUAGGCUGGCCAAAUUGAACCACCAUCUUU
rnacentral:SRP_RNA from 1 species